GCCGAUAUGGCGGAAUUGGCAGACGCGCCGGACUCAAAAUCCGGUUCCUUCUGGAGUGCCGGUUCGACCCCGGCUAUCGGUA
rnacentral:tRNA from 2 species